rnacentral:rRNA from 1 species
AUUGAACGCUGGCGGCAGGCCUAACACAUGCAAGUCGAACGGUAACAGGAAACAGCUUGCUGUUUCGCUGACGAGUGGCGGACGGGUGAGUAAUGUCUGGGAAACUGCCUGAUGGAGGGGGAUAACUACUGGAAACGGUAGCUAAUACCGCAUAACGUCGCAAGACCAAAGAGGGGGACCUUCGGGCCUCUUGCCAUCAGAUGUGCCCAGAUGGGAUUAGCUAGUAGGUGGGGUAAUGGCUCACCUAGGCGACGAUCCCUAGCUGGUCUGAGAGGAUGACCAGCCACACUGGAACUGAGACACGGUCCAGACUCCUACGGGAGGCAGCAGUGGGGAAUAUUGCACAAUGGGCGCAAGCCUGAUGCAGCCAUGCCGCGUGUGUGAAGAAGGCCUUCGGGUUGUAAAGCACUUUCAGCGGGGAGGAAGGCGGUGAGGUUAAUAACCUCAUCGAUUGACGUUACCCGCAGAAGAAGCACCGGCUAACUCCGUGCCAGCAGCCGCCGUAA